rnacentral:rRNA from 1 species
AUUGAACGCUGGCGGCGUGCUUAACACAUGCAAGUCGAGCGGUAACAGGUGUAGCAAUACAUGCUGACGAGCGGCGAACGGGUGAGUAAUGCUUCGGAAUCUUCCUCGUAGUGGGGACUAACCUGGGGAAACUCGGGCUAAUACCGCAUACGAACUACGGUUGACAGCGGGGGAUCGCAAGACCUCGCGCUAUGAGAUGAGCCGAAGUCGGAUGAGCUAGUUGGUGGGGUAACGGCCUACCAAGGAGACGAUCCGUAGCUGGUAUGAGAGGACGACCAGCCACACUGGGACUGAGACACGGCCCAGACGCCUACGGGAGGGAGCAGUGGGGAAUAUUGGACAAUGGGGGAAACCCUGAUCCAGCGACGCCGCGUGUGUGAGGAAGGCCUGCGGGUUGUAAAGCACUUUUAGUGGGGAUGAAAAGCGCAGGGUUAACACCCUUGCGUCUUGACCUAACCCAAAGAAAAAGCACCGGCUAACUCUGUGCCAGCAGCCGCGGUAAGAC